rnacentral:rRNA from 1 species
GGGUUGUGAGGUUAAGCGACUAAGCGUACACGGUGGAUGCCCUGGCAGUCAGAGGCGAUGAAGGACGUGCUAAUCUGCGAUAAGCGUCGGUAAGGUGAUAUGAACCGUUAUAACCGGCGAUUUCCGAAUGGGGAAACCCAGUGUGAUUCGUCACACUAUCAUUAACUGAAUCCAUAGGUUAAUGAGGCGAACCGGGGGAACUGAAACAUCUAAGUACCCCGAGGAAAAGAAAUCAACCGAGAUUCCCCCAGUAGCGGCGAGCGAACGGGGAGCAGCCCAGAGCCUGAAUCAGUGUGUGUGUUAGUGGAAGCGUCUGGAAAGGCGUGCGAUACAGGGUGACAGCCCCGUACACAAAAAUGCACAUGCUGUGAGCUCGAUGAGUAGGGCGGGACACGUGGUAUCCUGUCUGAAUAUGGGGGGACCAUCCUCCAAGGCUAAAUACUCCUGACUGACCGAUAGUGAACCAGUACCGUGAGGGAAAGGCGAAAAGAACCCCGGCGAGGGGAGUGAAAAAGAACCUGAAACCGUGUACGUACAAGCAGUGGGAGCACGCUUAGGCGUGUGACUGCGUACCUUUUGUAUAAUGGGUCAGCGACUUAUAUUCUGUAGCAAGGUUAACCGAAUAGGGGAGCCGAAGGGAAACCGAGUCUUAACUGGGCGUUAAGUUGCAGGGUAUAGACCCGAAACCCGGUGAUCUAGCCAUGGGCAGGUUGAAGGUUGGGUAACACUAACUGGAGGACCGAACCGACUAAUGUUGAAAAAUUAGCGGAUGACUUGUGGCUGGGGGUGAAAGGCCAAUCAAACCGGGAGAUAGCUGGUUCUCCCCGAAAGCUAUUUAGGUAGCGCCUCGUGAAUUCAUCUCCGGGGGUAGAGCACUGUUUCGGCAAGGGGGUCAUCCCGACUUACCAACCCGAUGCAAACUGCGAAUACCGGAGAAUGUUAUCACGGGAGACACACGGCGGGUGCUAACGUCCGUCGUGAAGAGGGAAACAACCCAGACCGCCAGCUAAGGUCCCAAAGUCAUGGUUAAGUGGGAAACGAUGUGGGAAGGCCCAGACAGCCAGGAUGUUGGCUUAGAAGCAGCCAUCAUUUAAAGAAAGCGUAAUAGCUCACUGGUCGAGUCGGCCUGCGCGGAAGAUGUAACGGGGCUAAACCAUGCACCGAAGCUGCGGCAGCGACGCUUAUGCGUUGUUGGGUAGGGGAGCGUUCUGUAAGCCUGUGAAGGUGUACUGUGAGGUAUGCUGGAGGUAUCAGAAGUGCGAAUGCUGACAUAAGUAACGAUAAAGCGGGUGAAAAGCCCGCUCGCCGGAAGACCAAGGGUUCCUGUCCAACGUUAAUCGGGGCAGGGUGAGUCGACCCCUAAGGCGAGGCCGAAAGGCGUAGUCGAUGGGAAACAGGUUAAUAUUCCUGUACUUGGUGUUACUGCGAAGGGGGGACGGAGAAGGCUAUGUUGGCCGGGCGACGGUUGUCCCGGUUUAAGCGUGUAGGCUGGUUUUCCAGGCAAAUCCGGAAAAUCAAGGCUGAGGCGUGAUGACGAGGCACUACGGUGCUGAAGCAACAAAUGCCCUGCUUCCAGGAAAAGCCUCUAAGCAUCAGGUAACAUCAAAUCGUACCCCAAACCGACACAGGUGGUCAGGUAGAGAAUACCAAGGCGCUUGAGAGAACUCGGGUGAAGGAACUAGGCAAAAUGGUGCCGUAACUUCGGGAGAAGGCACGCUGAUAUGUAGGUGAAGCGACUUGCUCGUGGAGCUGAAAUCAGUCGAAGAUACCAGCUGGCUGCAACUGUUUAUUAAAAACACAGCACUGUGCAAACACGAAAGUGGACGUAUACGGUGUGACGCCUGCCCGGUGCCGGAAGGUUAAUUGAUGGGGUCAGCGCAAGCGAAGCUCUUGAUCGAAGCCCCGGUAAACGGCGGCCGUAACUAUAACGGUCCUAAGGUAGCGAAAUUCCUUGUCGGGUAAGUUCCGACCUGCACGAAUGGCGUAAUGAUGGCCAGGCUGUCUCCACCCGAGACUCAGUGAAAUUGAACUCGCUGUGAAGAUGCAGUGUACCCGCGGCAAGACGGAAAGACCCCGUGAACCUUUACUAUAGCUUGACACUGAACAUUGAGCCUUGAUGUGUAGGAUAGGUGGGAGGCUUGGAAGUGUGGACGCCAGUCUGCAUGGAGCCGACCUUGAAAUACCACCCUUUAAUGUUUGAUGUUCUAACGUUGACCCGUAAUCCGGGUUGCGGACAGUGUCUGGUGGGUAGUUUGACUGGGGCGGUCUCCUCCUAAAGAGUAACGGAGGAGCACGAAGGUUGGCUAAUCCUGGUCGGACAUCAGGAGGUUAGUGCAAUGGCAUAAGCCAGCUUGACUGCGAGCGUGACGGCGCGAGCAGGUGCGAAAGCAGGUCAUAGUGAUCCGGUGGUUCUGAAUGGAAGGGCCAUCGCUCAACGGAUAAAAGGUACUCCGGGGAUAACAGGCUGAUACCGCCCAAGAGUUCAUAUCGACGGCGGUGUUUGGCACCUCGAUGUCGGCUCAUCACAUCCUGGGGCUGAAGUAGGUCCCAAGGGUAUGGCUGUUCGCCAUUUAAAGUGGUACGCGAGCUGGGUUUAGAACGUCGUGAGACAGUUCGGUCCCUAUCUGCCGUGGGCGCUGGAGAACUGAGGGGGGCUGCUCCUAGUACGAGAGGACCGGAGUGGACGCAUCACUGGUGUUCGGGUUGUCAUGCCAAUGGCACUGCCCGGUAGCUAAAUGCGGAAGAGAUAAGUGCUGAAAGCAUCUAAGCACGAAACUUGCCCCGAGAUGAGUUCUCCCUGAGACUUUAAGUCUCCUGAAGGAACGUUGAAGACGACGACGUUGAUAGGCCGGGUGUGUAAGCGCAGCGAUGCGUUGAGCUAACCGGUACUAAUGAACCGUGAGGCUUAACCUUACAACGCCGAAGGUGUUU